rnacentral:rRNA from 1 species
GUAGGUGGCAAGCGUUGUCCGGAAUUAUUGGGCGUAAAGCGCGCGCAGGCGGUCCUUUAAGGUCUGAUGUGAAAGCCCACGGGCUCAACCGUGGAGGGUCAUUGGAAACUGGAGGACUUGAGUACAGAAGAGGAAAGCGGAAUUCCAAGUGUAGCGGUGAAAUGCGUAGAGAUUUGGAGGAACACCAGUGGCGAAGGCGGCUUUCUGGUCUGUAACUGACGCUGAGGCGCGAAAGCGUGGGGAGCAAACAGGAUUAGAUACCCUGGUAGUCCACGCCGUAAACGAUGAGUGCUAAGUGUUAGGGGGCUUCCGCCCCUUAGUGCUGCAGCUAACGCAUUAAGCACUCCGCCUGGGGAGUACGGCCGCAAAGGCUG